UACGGCUACAUCGCAUUGAAACACUGGUUCCCAUACAAUUAUCUAAGUUAAGCAACGUCGAGCCUGGUCAGUACCUAGAAGGGUGACCGCUUGAGAAUACCAAGUGCUGUA